UAGCGUAUAUUAAAGUUGUUGCGGUAAAAAAGCUCGUAGUUGGAUUUCUGUUGAGAACGACCGGUCCACACAACGUGUGCGCAUCUGGUUCGGUCUCGGCAUCCUCUCGAAAGACGACUCUGCGCUUGAUUGCGUGGAUCGGAUUCCGGGACUUUUACUUUGAGGAAAUUAGAGUGUUCACGGCAGGCUAUCGCCAGGAUACAUUAGCAUGGAAUAAUACUAUAGGAUCUUGAUCCUAUUUUGUUGGUUUCUAGGAGCAAGAUAAUGAUUAAUAGGGACAAUUGGGGGCAUUCGUAUCAACACGUC
rnacentral:rRNA from 1 species